rnacentral:rRNA from 1 species
UACGUAGGGUGCAAGCGUUAAUCGGAAUUACUGGGCGUAAAGCGUGCGCAGGCGGUCUUGCAAGACAGAUGUGAAAUCCCAGAGCUCAACUCUGGAACUGCCUUUGAUACUGGGUGUCUUGAGUAUGAUAGAGGUAUGUGGAACUCCGAGUGUAGAGGUGAAAUUCGUAGAUAUUCACAAGAACACCAGUGGCGAAGGCGGCUCACUGGUCCGGUACUGACGCUGAGGUGCGAAAGCGUGGGGAGCAAACAGGG